rnacentral:tmRNA from 1 species
GGGGCCGAUCUGGAUUCGACCGGAUAAUUUGAAGGCUUUGGUGGCGUGUCGUGGUUGGUCGGGUGGACACGUAAAAACUCGAUCAAAAAAGUAACUGCUGAAGGUAACUUCGCACUAGCGGCCUAAUUAGGCUGCUCGGGUACUUGGGGUUCGUCGAAGACGCCAUACUAUCCGUCGCAAUUUCGAAUCGUUGAUGGUCGCGCCUGGCACAUCAUCAGCUAAAUAAAGCUCCAGGCUGGCGCGCUGCACCGAUGUCAUCAACGAACGCAGUGGGCGAGACAACAACAGAUGGCUACACACGUAGAUGCCGGGUUGGAAGUAUCUCGGGACGGGGGUUCAAUUCCCCCCGGCUCCAUCA